rnacentral:rRNA from 1 species
AUACGUAGGUGGCAAGCGCUGUCCGGAAUUACUGGGUGUAAAGGGUGCGUAGGCGGGUAAUGAAGUCAGAUGUGAAAUUCCGAAGCUUAACUUCGGAACUGCAUUUGAAACUCAUUAUCUUGAGUGAAGUAGAGGUAAGCGGAAUUCCCAGUGUAGCGGUGAAAUGCGUAGAUAUUGGGAGGAACACCAGUGGCGAAGGCGGCUUACUGGGCUUUAACUGACGCUGAUGCACGAAAGCAUGGGUAGC